GGUCACUGCUAUUGGGAUUCGACUAAGCCAUGCGAGUCGAGAGGGUUCGGCCCUCGGCUGACGGCUCAGUAACACGUGGAUAAUCUGCCCUUAGGUGGAGGAUACCCUCGGGAAACUGAGAAUAAUACUCCAUAGGUCUAGGAUGCUGGAAUGCAUCUAGACUCAAAGCUCCGGCGCCUAAGGAUGAGUCUGCGGACUAUCAGGUUGUAGUCAGGGUAAAGACCUGACUAGCCUACGACGGAUACGGGUUGUGAGAGCAAUAACCCGGAGAUGAUAUCUGAGACACGAUAUCAGGCCCUACGGGGCGCAGCAGGCGCGAAAACUUCACACUGUGCGAAAGCACGAUGAGGGAAUCCCAAGUGCCAGCUCGUAAGAGUUGGCUGUUUUUCUGUCUAAAACACAGAGAGAGUAAGAGCUGGGUAAGACGGGUGCCAGCCGCCGCGGUAAUACCUGCAGCUCGAGUGGUGACCGUUAUUAUUGGGCCUAAAACGUCCGUAGCCGGUUUAGUAAAUGCCUGGGUAAAUCGUGUAGCUUAACUAUACGAAUUCCGGGUAGACUGCUAAGCUUGAGACCGGGAGAGGCUAGAGGUACUCCUGGGGUAGAGGUGAAAUUCUGUAAUCCUGGGGGGACCACCAGUGGCGAAGGCGUCUAGCUAGAACGGAUCUGACGGUGAGGGACGAAGCCCUGGGGCGCAAACCGGAUUAGAUACCCGGGUAGUCCAGGGUGUAAACGCUGCUUGCUUGAUGUUGGUUGGGCUCCGAGCCCAAUCAGUGUCGGAGAGAAGUUGUUAAGCAAGCUGCCUG
rnacentral:rRNA from 1 species